rnacentral:rRNA from 1 species
GACGAACGCUGGCGGCGUGCCUAACACAUGCAAGUCGAACGGGGUAAAGACUUCGGUUUUUACUUAGGGGCGAACGGGUGAGUAACGCGUGAGAAACCUGCCUCUCAGUGGGGGACAACAGUUGGAAACGACUGCUAAUACCGCAUAACGUAUCGGGAUCGCAUGAUCCUGAUACCAAAGAUUAUAUCGCUGAAAGAUGGGCUCGCGUACGAUUAGAUAGUUGGUGAGGUAACGGCCCACCAAGCCGACGAUCGGUAGCCGACCUGAGAGGGUGAUCGGCCACAUUGGGACUGAGACACGGCCCAAACUCCUACGGGAGGCAGCAGUGGGGAAUAUUGGGCAAUGGGGGAAACCCUGACCCAGCAACGCCGCGUGAAGGAAGAAGGGCCUUCGGGUUGGUAAACUUCUUUUACCUAGGGACGAAGAACGUGACGGUACCU